rnacentral:rRNA from 1 species
GACGAACGCUGGCGGCGUGCUUAACACAUGCAAGUCGAACGGAAAGGCCCUGCUUUUGUGGGGUGCUCGAGUGGCGAACGGGUGAGUAACACGUGAGUAACCUGCCCUUGACUUUGGGAUAACUUCAGGAAACUGGGGCUAAUACCGGAUAGGAGCUCCUGCUGCAUGGUGGGGGUUGGAAAGUUUCGGCGGUUGGGGAUGGACUCGCGGCUUAUCAGCUUGUUGGUGGGGUAGUGGCUUACCAAGGCUUUGACGGGUAGCCGGCCUGAGAGGGUGACCGGCCACAUGGGGAAUGGGAUACGGCCCAGACCCCUACGGGGGGAAGGAGGGGGGAAUAUUGCCAAAGGGGGGGAAGCCUGAGGAAGAACCGCCGGGUGGGGGAAGACGGCCUUCGGGUUGAAACCCGCUUUCGCCUGGGACGAAGGGGGGGUGCCGGUAAUGGGUAAAGAAGCACCGGCUAAUUACGU